AAUAAGUGCAGUCUUACACUGUUCAUGUUCAACGUUUCACCGUUCGUCUUAUUUAAAAAAAUUCAUCAUUAAUAUUUUUUAUUAUUAGAUGAUAAAACAUGAAAAAUAUUUUAUUGACUAUUUUUUUUAAUUUGUUCAUAUUUUUUUUAAAUAAGACGGAUAGUCGAACGUUGGACAUGGAUAUCCACGGUUGCACUUACU
rfam:Oryza sativa Japonica Group DNA, chromosome 5, cultivar: Nipponbare, complete sequence.